AGAAUCAACGCUGGCGGCGUGCCUAACACAUGCAAGUCGCACGAGAAAGGGUAGCAAUACCUGAGUAAAGUGGCGCACGGGUGAGUAACACGUGAAUUAUCUACCUCCGAGUGGGGAAUAACUGAGAGAAAUCUUAGCUAAUACCGCAUAACACUUACGAGUCAAAGCAGCAAUGCGCUUGGAGAGGAGUUCGCGGCAGAUUAGUUAGUUGGCGGGGUAAUGGCCCACCAAGACGAUGAUCUGU
rnacentral:rRNA from 1 species